GCUCAAAAUGAGCAUCCACACAGCAGCUUAUGGAGCGAGCUGCUGCUCAGCCAUCCAAUAGGCAUGUCGCAGACUCUGUAAUUCUGAUUAUGGAUUAGCCCAGCACCUUUGAUGACAAUCCUGUCGACAUUCAGCUCUAUCAAGCAUCUUACUGAAUUCCUGGAUCUUUCCUCACCCAACCAAGCGUCUUCAACCAGCAUUGAGCCACCUACCUUCAGAAUACACCAUACUUAGCUCCUUCUGUCUAAAGGGGUAUAGAAAACACACAACCCGUAAAAGCCCUGAGACAGACUGGCGACCUGUCCAGGGUGUCACCUGCCUUCGCCCGAGUCAGCUGGGAUAGGCCCCAGCACCCCCCGCGACCCAAGUGAGGAUUAAGCGGUGUACAGAGAAUGGAUGGAUGGAUGGACAACCCGUAAUAACCAGCUCAGGACUAGUCUCACAUAACCAGACUAACCUCUCCCGUGCUAAGUCACAAAAGUCUGUGCUAAGCCCAGGAUGUAGUGAUGGUGUACCUGCAAAAUAGGGAAAGGGAAAUUAUUUUGUUGGAACAUUAGCAUGCAGUGAGGUGAGCACUGUCAUUAAAUAUGCCAAAAAAAUGUAUAAAAAGUAAAUAAAAAAAUUACU